rnacentral:misc_RNA from 1 species
UUGGGACGCACUGGUGCGUACGCUGUAUAUGUAAAAUCUACUUUUUGAAAGAUAUUUUGGAAAUGGAAUGGAACAAAAUCUAAAUCUGCGUACCUGUAUUCUAUCAGAGAUGCUUUAAUUCAUCCCGUUGCUUACUCAACUCUUCUGAUUCUUCUUUUCUUAGCUUUAUCCAGCAUUUUCCAGGUUCAUAUUUGGAAUUGCAAACCAGGGAGUUUUUAUUGAUGGGGGCUAUUUUGAGUUUGGCAAGUAACAAGAGUACCACCAGCCAGUUUCAUGAGGUCUUAUGUGAUGCCAGCUGCAAGAGGCAAAAGAGAUCCUUGAGCUUUGAUGAGAAGCGCCCAAGACUGAUUCCAAGUCUUCCAGAUGAGUUGUCAAUCCAGAUUCUUGCUAGAAUUCCCAGGACUUACUACUUCAAUCUAAGGUUGGUGUCACAAAAGUGGAAGGAAACUAUUAUGAGCCAUGAGCUGUUUAAAUUGAGAAAAGAACUUGGAUUGAAAGAAGAGUGGUUGUAUGUAUUGACUAAAGUUGAAGAGGAACUUUCAUG